UGUAUGAAAAAUUUGUAAAAUUAGUGUUGUUCAUUGUUCAUAUGACCAUGCCAUUUUAUUUUAUUUUUUUGAAAAGCUGAAUUUUAUUCAAUUCAUGCUAAAUUGUCAACCAAACAAAGGGAAGAAACAUGCUCCUCCCUAAAAAAAUAACACACUGCAUAUAACAUCAAAAAACAGUCUACAGGUCCUAGCAACCUCAAGGUGUCCCCAAAAACAACACAUUACACUCCCCAACCAGUAGUAAGGUUAGCACAACCUUAGCCACACACCCACAGAGGAAACUAGGAACAAAAAUAAAAGCAGGGCCCCUAUACAUCAACACAAUCAUUCACAGAAGAAUCCAACAAAACCAGAAAUAUAAUCAAAAGGUUGAAAAACUCCCCUGUACACAUCCAGGAUCCUUUCAAAGUUCUCCACGUUGCCUGAAAUACCCCUCCAUCACCAGCAGCUUAAUACAAGUGACCCAUCUCCCAUGCACCUCCCUAUUAACUAAAAGUUCUCAAAACAGAAGACUGAAGUUGAAGUCCCUCAUUUACUAAGGCAUCUGCUCUCUGGUUAGCCUUUCUUCUUACAUGUUGGAUCUCCCACCCCUUAACUUCUCUUUUCAAUCUUUCCGUUUGCAAAAUCAGCUUUCUCAUUCUCCAUGGUGCCCCAUCCGGAUGCUUAAUCCAUUUUACAGCAUUGCUGGAAUCAUUUUCGAUGUAAAGCUUAUGAUUGUCCUACAAUCUUGAAACUGAAAGGAUCAAAAAGGCUUCCUUAAUUGCCAUCAUCUCAGCAAAAUUAGAAUCGGUCUCACUAAUCGGUUUUAAAAAAAUAAUUUUGACUUUUCCUCUAUGGUCCCUUAAUAUUCCCUCAAUCCCUAUCGGUCUCGGACAACCUCGAGCUGCACCAUCCACAUUAAACUUCAUUU
rnacentral:lncRNA from 1 species